GAUGAACGCUGGCGGCGUGCCUAAUACAUGCAAGUCGAGCGAACAGACGAGGAGCUUGCUCCUUCGACGUUAGCGGCGGACGGGUGAGUAACACGUGGGUAACCUACCUAUAAGACUGGGAUAACUUCGGGAAACCGGAGCUAAUACCGGAUAAUAUUUCGAACCGCAUGGUUCGAUAGUGAAAGAUGGCUUUGCUAUCACUUAUAGAUGGACCUGCGCCGUAUUAGCUAGUUGGUAAGGUAACGGCUUACCAAGGCAACGAUACGUAGCCGACCUGAGAGGGUGAUCGGCCACACUGGAACUGAGACACGGUCCAGACUCCUACGGGGGGCAGCAGUAGGGAAUCUUCCGCAAUGGGCGAAAGCCUGACGGAGCAACGCCGCGUGAGUGAUGAAGGUCUUCGGAUCGUAAAACUCUGUUAUUAGGGAAGAACAAACGUGUAAGUAACUGUGCACGUCUUGACGGUACCUAAUCAGAAAGCCACGGCUAACUACGUG
rnacentral:rRNA from 1 species